AGAGUUUGAUCCUGGCUCAGAUUGAACGCUGGCGGCAUGCCUUACACAUGCAAGUCGAACGGUAACAGGUCUUCGGAUGGUGACGAGUGGCGAACGGGUGAGUAAUACAUCGGAACGUGCCCGAUCGUGGGGGAUAACGAGGCGAAAGCCUUGCUAAUACCGCAUACGAUCUACGGAUGAAAGCGGGGGAUCUUCGGACCUCGCGCGGACGGAGCGGCCGAUGGCAGAUUAGGUAGUUGGUGGGAUAAAAGCUUACCAAGCCGACGAUCUGUAGCUGGUCUGAGAGGAUGAUCAGCCACACUGGGACUGAGACACGGCCCAGACUCCUACGGGAGGCAGCAGUGGGGAAUUUUGGACAAUGGGCGAAAGCCUGAUCCAGCCAUGCCGCGUGCAGGAUGAAGGCCUUCGGGUUGUAAACUGCUUUUGUACGGAACGAAAAGCCUCUUUCUAAUAAAGAGGGGUCAUGACGGUACCGUAAGAAUAAGCACCGGCUAACUACGUGCCAGCAGCCGCGGUAAUACGUAGGGUGCAAGCGUUAAUCGGAAUUACUGGGCGUAAAGCGUGCGCAGGCGGUUUUGUAAGACAGAGGUGAAAUCCCCGGGCUCAACCUGGGAACUGCCUUUGUGACUGCAAGGCUGGAGUGCGGCAGAGGGGGAUGGAAUUCCGCGUGUAGCAGUGAAAUGCGUAGAUAUGCGGAGGAACACCGAUGGCGAAGGCAAUCCCCUGGGCCUGCACUGACGCUCAUGCACGAAAGCGUGGGGAGCAAACAGGAUUAGAUACCCCGGUAGUCC
rnacentral:rRNA from 1 species